UCAGGAACCAUCCCUCUGCCACUUGGACAGAGCAGCACAUCUCAGAUCUGCCCUGCUAUUGAGGUGCAGGUGUGGGCUGUAUUGCUACUUUGAAGGAAAGGAGCACCCUCAGCUCUCCUCGACAUCUGCCCUGAUGCCACAGAGCACUGUUGCGAGGGAAUGUGGGCCUCUGGACCAUCUCAGACAUCUCAACGGGUGCCCAAUGCAUUUCUUGACCUCAGGAACCUUACGUGUGCCAUUUUGAUCAUCGGAUCAAACCUCAGACCUGUCCCACCAUUGAGAGGGAGCUGUAGGCUGCACUGUCACCUCAAAGGGAAGGUUUUUGUUUGGUUUGGGUUUUUUUUUUUUUUGUG